AUGCUUGGCUUUGAUUCUGAGGAUUUAAAUAGAAGAUUUGAAACCAGUGUUCAAAACCGAGUAGAAUGGAAAGUUGCAGGAAUUUUCGUUGAAGAUUUGUCGUCUCCCGCGAGGGCACCGCCGGAGAAGACGGUUGCACCGCCGCCUGGAGGUUUCAAUGACCGGAGUAUUGACUCCUUGUGCCCUAGAGGUAUCUCACGCUCAUUUGCUAAAUAA